UCCCCACCACGACUCCUUCACUUGUCCCCCUCCCCAACAUGCCGGCUCGAUCCAAUCUGAUCGCAUCCUAGGACCUCCCCCGACCAUGGAACCCUAGCGCUGCGCCGCCGCCGCCGCCAUAGUUCCCCGACCACCCCUGCAACCCCACCAUCUCCUCGCCCCUCCUCAUCCCCGACCAAAUUCUCACCCCUGCAACCUCGCCAUCUCCUCGCCCCCUCCUCAUCCAAGGCAGCUUUCUAUUCGGUAAUAACUUUGGGGGCAUACAGGUUGUGUGGACCUCUGGUGACUGAGAUCACCAGGGCCUCGUCCUCGUCGCCGGGAGCUCGGAUUCAUCGUCAGCAAGGCCUGCAUCCACGCCUACAUCACAUCUAGCAAGUUUUCUUGAAGAUUGUCUGUCGAUUGGAGUGACGAUAACACUACGAUCUUGACCGAGCUCUUUGUCCAGCAAGUGCAUGACACUUGACCCAAAAUGCUUACGAGGAAGUUGCAAAGGAUUUCAAAAUCAGAACAGGUCUGGAGUACACCAGGCUCCAGUUGAAGAACAAGUGGGAUAAGUUGAAGACUGGUUACAGCAAUUUCAGAAAGCUCAAGUUGAAGGAGACCGGUGGUGGUUGGGACUAUGAGAGAAACACCAUCAAGCAAGAUGCUGAAUGGUGGAAGAAAGCAAAGAUAGACAUUCCUGGCUGUGGCAAGUUCCAAAAGCGUGGACUACAAAAUGAGAAUAACUUAUCUAUCAUGUUUGGUGACAUCACGAGUGAUGGUACAGAUCACUGGAAUCCAUGUGCCUAAUUUUCAACGAGGUGUGGCGCCAAGAACACCUAAGGAGAAAUUUAACAAGAUACACUCAUCCAAGCUUAAUGUGAUCGAGAGAGCGUUUGGCGUGUGGAAAAUGAAGUGGCAGAUUCUACUAAAGAUGCCCAAUUAUUUGGUUGAAACUCAGAAGAUGAUAGUGGCUGCAACUAUGACCCUUCACAACUAUGUUCGAUAUCAUGAUAAGGGCGAUCUUCACUUUCUUCAAGUCGACAGAGAUCCCAGCUAUGUCCCAACUAUCCCUUCAAGGUAUCAACGGUACGCCAUCCCUCCAAAUGCAUCAGACGCGUCAACCUCAGAGGCUAGCGAUAAAGACAUGGACCGGUUUUGUAAUAGACUAGCAACUGAUAUUGCUCUUGGUUGGUGAAUUUCACUUCUGCUAUAAAUCUGAAAUUAUUUGAAGUAGAGUAUAAAUGUUUUUGGUUCUAUUCAAGCCAUCACCAGCUGCCACAAUAGGAAAGAAGCAAGCAAAACAACCAGAAGCGCUCAGUUUGCCGCACCCAACAAUUCUUAUUUACGGGAAAGCCAACCAAAAUAUUCAAUUCAGACUUCGUAGAGCCGGUGCUACUGCUGUGCAUAAAGAUUUUCAUGUUUUGAAAAUUGUUUCUCCAGGAGGUUCACUAGAACUAGAUUGAUGUCUACAAAAUAUGUGUAUUUAUGUGGCUUUUGUUCGUGUUUGUCAUCUGAAAAUCCUAUUUGUUUAUGUUGAUAAAAUCAUGUAAUUUCAGCAAACUCAUGCUGAAGUGUUCUUGUGCGAUAAAUUCCAUUAUGUGUGAAAUUUUGCACAAUGAAAUUAUGUGUGAAAUUUCUGCA